AACCCAUACGAUCACCGAAGAUAAGCAACGUCGAGCGUGGUCAGUACCUAGAUGAAUGAUCACUUGAGAAUACCAGGUGUUGUAAG